AACGCACCUUGCGCUCCUUGGUAUUCCGAGGAGCAUGCCCGUUUGAGUGUCGUGAUAUCAUCAAGUCGGAACCCCCCUUUUCUGGUUGGGGCUACGCUUGGACUUGGAUGUGCUGCCGGACGGCGACGCCCGGCUCAUCCCAAAUGCAUUAGCUGGAUUUUUUCCUGGCUUGGACUUUUGUUCUCACUCGGCGUGAUAAGAUCACCCGUCGAGGACGUCCCUCGCCUCACGGACCGGCUUCCAACCGUCCCCUCGUGGACAAAUCACUUGACAAUCUGACCUCAAAUCGGGUAGGACUACCCGCUGAACUUAA
rnacentral:rRNA from 1 species